GAAAGGAGCUUGCUCCUGGAUUCAGCGGCGGACGGGUGAGUAAAGCCUAGGAAUCUGCCUGGUAGUGGGGGACAACGUUUCGAAAGGAACGCUAAUACCGCAUACGUCCUACGGGAGAAAGCAGGGGACCUUCGGGCCUUGCGCUAUCAGAUGAGCCUAGGUCGGAUUAGCUAGUUGGUGAGGUAAUGGCUCACCAAGGCGACGAUCCGUAACUGGUCUGAGAGGAUGAUCAGUCACACUGGAACUGAGACACGGUCCAGACUCCUACGGGAGGCAGCAGUGGGGAAUAUUGGACAAUGGGCGAAAGCCUGAUCCAGCCAUGCCGCGUGUGUGAAGAAGGUCUUCGGAUUGUAAAGCACUUUAAGUUGGGAGGAAGGGUUGUAGAUUAAUACUCUGCAAUUUUGACGUUACCGACAGAAUAAGCACCGGCUAACUCUGUGCCAGCAGCCGCGGUAAUACAGAGGGUGCAAGCGUUAAUCGGAAUUACUGGGCGUAAAGCGCG
rnacentral:rRNA from 1 species